CUCAGCUCUAAACUGGGUGUUUUGCAAACAGCAUGAGUUACUAUGUAUCCAGGUAGGUGGGGUCAGCACACAGCGUCUCCUUGUUUUCCUGUCUUGUAAUAAUUAACCCCUUCUCUUGGGGGACUCCAAGUAAUUGCCUUUCCUGUAAACAGUUGGUAAUUGCAACUGUGUGGUGGUGGCCUGAGAAAGUGGGAAUGCAGAGAAAACAGCAUUUCUGGUUUUGAGGACCUGCACGUGCAGAAGCAGGAGUGUGGCAUGUGCAGGUACACACAGGAACUGCAGAAUCAGGACAGUGCUUCCACUGCCUAGAACUUGGCCCUGGGCAAAACAGGUACCUGAUAGGGAGUUCUGGCCCCUGGGUUAAGGUGGGGUGAGACGCCCUCUGAACACCUCUAUUUGAAUCUUAAUCCACUCUGGGCCAAGGCUCCCAGAAACCCUAGUGCAUGUUCCCUGGGCUCCUGGCUGCCAGGCCUCCCACCUGAGGGAUGGGUGGUCCAAUGACUGGGGACCCACCCUGUUCCCAAACCUGCUUCUCCCCCGCUCUGUAGAGUAGUCUGGCAUCUUUCCUGCUAAGAGACAAAGACUUUGCUGCUCAGAAGUGAGACUAAAUUCCGGAACUCUGGAUAAUUGGGGAAGGCCCUGUAGUCUGCAAGUGACCUUGUUUUCUUUCCCCGACCCAUGUAAAAGCCAAUGAUUUUAUUCAACAAGUUUUCCCAUGCACUUUGUAUGUGUGUGUGUGUGUGUUUAUGUGUGUGUGUGUGUGACAGAGUCUUGUUAUGUAGUUCAGCUGAAUUUACUGGGCUUGAAUUUACUAUGCAGCCCAGGCUGGCCUUGAACUCAUGGCAGUCCUCCUGCCUCAGCCUCUUGAGUGCUGGGAUUAUAGGCGUGCGCCAUCAUGCCCUCCAUCCCCAUGUAUUUUUUUUUUUUUUUUUUUUUUGGUACUGGGGAUGGAACUUGGGAUCUUGUGCUUAUGAGGCAGGUGGCACCCCAUGUACUUUUGACCUCAUCCUGGUUUAGGGCAAGGAGCCUGCAUGCUGCUGCCCCUUGGAGCCAAGAGGAGAGGUGUAGGUAGGGUUUUAGGAGCAGGGUCGUCUCUACUUAACCAAAGUCAUGAACUGCCUCCAUGGUUGUGAAUUUGGUUCUCUCUCUUGUCCUCAAAGCAAAUGGCUUUGAGACAACCUUGGUUGAGGCUGACAUUUCCACUCGUCCAAGUUCGUUUUCACGCCGCACAGUUUGCUGUUUACUUCUCACCGUGGUAGAGCAUCCCACAUGAACACGGUUUUGAUAAGGGAGGCGAGGUGAGUCGCUGUCCUCUCACUGUUGAGGCAGGCUUGAACUUCUCCCUGUCACCCAUCAGAGGUUUUGCCUGAGACACCCCAGCCUCAUCAUGCACUUCCACAUUGUCUCAAAGACCCGCACAGCUACUGAACUGCUCUGUGACCUUGGGCAAGUCCCUUUUCUCUGGACUUCGCUGAACUGUCUCUGUGCAGAAGGUCCUAGACCCAUGUCCUUAUUGUCCUUGAAGAUCUGAGGUGCAGCACUGAGAGCCGACAUUCAUUAAUAACCCUUUUUUAUGAGGGGAGUGAGGGCUAGAGAAGUAAGAUGACUCGCCAUGUUGCCAGGCGCUGGCAGGGCUGGGAUGCCACCCAAGACACUUGACCCCAAGGUCCAAGCUCUGAACUGCUUCCUGUCCAUUCUUCAGUGAAGCCCCUGCCCAAAGACCCACCCAGUUGGAUGCCCUAGUCCUGAACCACAGCCUUCUCCAGUUCUUAUCAUCCUAAGAACAGAUGCCAACAGCAGAGAUGGCCAGAAGAGUUUUAAAAUUCCCUUUAUUCCUGGGUCUGAUUCUGGAAUUCUUUGCAUCUUGACCAGUUCUCAUGCAUGAACAGCUCAGAAAUCAGAGAAAGCAUCUUUAUUUCCAGACUUCUCCUUUAGUAGCCUGCUAACCAGCAUUCACAUUUUCCUCUUCCAGUGUAGGACUUGUACCCAGAAACUUUCCAUGUGAGGCAGCUGUCUCCAAGAAAAACAGAAAAAGUCCCAGUUGGGCUUAUGAAGAAUGAAAUCAGCCCCAAGCCCCCAUCUCUCAGAAAAGUUGUUAUUAAAUUCUGUGCCUGCCCCUGACCUGGAUUUAAAGAUUUGCAAGAAGACAAAUUCCAAACAGAUGCCCAUUAGGGCCCUGACAGCCGCAGCUUAAAGAUAACAUUUACAUUCUGCCGGGGUUUGUAUCUCUCUGUUCCCCACGAGGGCCCUCUCCCGCCUCUAGUGGGAUCAAUACCUUGGUCGAGGUUACGAGGAGGUGGCCCACAUUCUUUUAAGCUGUUUGCUCAGUGCUUGGUUUGUUCUGCUAACAUGCUGGGCACUUCUUCUAACAGCCCUGUUUGCCCAGUAUUAGGGCUGUUUGCUGAAACACCUAGCCCACUCCGAGGGGGCUCAGCUUUCUAAACAGUUGGUCCCUGGAUCUGUCAAUCAAUAACACCAAUUGGGUUCCCGAUAUGGACAGCAGUGUGGCCAAGUCCAAUAUUUGUCCACACACUGCCCUCUCCCCCUGCACCUGACUGUCCCCAGCUUGACAAGGAGGACAUUCAGCAAGCGCACAGGCUGCUGGGAAGAUACAAUGUUGGCAAGCAGGGAGCUGUUCCCGGAAGGGAGGGCACGUGAGCAAACAGGAUGGCCCCUUUAUUCGAGGUAAUUUACUGAAAUGCAUGACGAUUACCUGCUCACCCAGCCCUGGGGUAAUUAAAAGUGGCAGGCUCUGGGCUCUGGCUUCUCUGGCGCUGGCAGAGAAGGCUGGGUUUCUACUUGGGAUGCUUGCAGUUCGAGUGCAUGGAAUCAGUGUCUGGAAAGGACCAAAGAGAGCAAGAGAAAGGUUUCCUAAAAAAAAGAGGCUGAUGGUUAACGCAGUGUACAGUCUUUUUUUUGGCGGGGGGGAAGUGACGGUGUUCUGGAGCUUGAUAGAGGUGUUGGUUGUACAACACUGUGAACACACUAAAUGCCACUGAACCAUUCAUUUUGGGAUGGUUCAUUUUAUGUGAUGUGAAUUUCACCUAAAAGAAAAAAAAGGGUGAAUCCCAGGGAAGACAGGAUGUUUACACUUGAGAGGCCUAAUGCCUAACUCAGCAUUUGGCUCGAGUGCACGCUUAAUAAAUGUUUAUUGAAAGAACAACCUAACAUUUGCACGGUCAACAAAGCUCUUUGUUACACAUUAGCUCACUUUAUCCUUAAAGCACCCUCUGUGGUUGACAGGGGUAAGAGUUAGCAUUCUUAUGUUGUAAGGGGAAACUAAGGCUCAGAGAGCAGUGAGGCUUGUAUCAUAUACCACAGCCACCAGUAGAGAUGGUGCUGGGAUUCAAACCCAAAAGCUCUGGCUGUAAAGUUGGUGCAGUACUAGGGAUCGAACUCAGGACCUUGUACUUGCCAAGCAGGCGUAGCACCACUGAGCUGAAUUCCCAGCCCUGCACAUGCACUGUUGUUAAAGGACCCUCUCACACUGCUUCUUGGCCUUUCUGCUAAGAUCAAGUGUAAAAUAUCCUCUUUCUCACUGAGAACCUUACAGUGGCUUUACAUUGCCUUAGGAUAAAUAAACAUCAAUAGCAAAAAUUAUUGAGCAACCUUUUCACCUACUUUCAUCUCAUCCCACCCUUACGAUGCUGUCCUCCCUGCUCAUCAUCCGUGAAGUGGGAGCAGCAGUUCUUUCACAGGGUUAGGGCAAGCAUCCACUUAGUUGUAUCAGGCAACGUACUGAGGAAACAGCCUGCCCUUGGUAAAUUCUUACGGGAGUUUAGCUGCGGUUUGGAGAAGAUGCUGUUCUGCAAAUAGGAAAAGAGCAACAGGAGAGUUUAAGACACUCACUCAGGCAGCUGGGCAUGGUGACACAUUGUAAUCUCAGCAAUCUGGGAGGCUCACAAGUUGGAGCCCAACCUGGGCAAUUUAGUGACUUAGCAAGACCCUGUCUCAAAAUAAAAAAUAAAAAAGGCUGUGGGAAUGUAUGUCAGUAUAUGCAGGCCUGGGUUCAAUCCCCAGUACCACAAGAGGAAGAACAAAAAGGAGGAGGAGGAAGAGAAAAAGGAGAAGAAAAAGGAGCAGGGGAAGAAGAGGGGGAGGAGGAAGAGGAAGAGACAGAAGAAGAGGAAGAGAAAAAAAGAAAGCAAAAACAAAAAGCAACCUGCCGUUUUUUUCUACAGCAGGAUUGGACCCAGUCCCAAUUCAGCCCUGGAGCCUCUUCCAUACCUGCCCUUGCCUCCACUCAGCAUGCACUGGGGCCCUCCUGCCUCUGCCCUUCCUAACAGUAACAUUCUAAAAUCCCUAUGGAAACACAAAAGACCCGGGGUAGCCAAAGCAAUCCUAAGCAAAAAGAGCAAGGUUGGGUACAGCGCAAUAUCUGAUUUAAAAUUUUACUACAGAUUAUACUAUAAAUUAUAGUAACAAAGUCAGCACGAUACUGGCACAAAAAUGGACUCACACACCAAUGAAAGAAUGGAGGAUGCAACCACAGCCAUCAAUUCCUGAUCAAAGGACCAAGAAUAUACUCCAGAGAAAAGAUGGCCUCUCUCACAAACAGUACCGGGAAAGCUGGGUAUCCACAUGUAGAAGACUGAAAUAGAUCCCUACCUCUUCCCAUGUAUAAAAAUCAAUUCAAACUGGGUCAAAGAUCUAGGUAUAGGUCCUGAAACUUUGAAACUUCUAGAAGAAAACAUAGGAGAAGCACUUGAAGCCAUAGAUACAAGCAAAGACUUCUCGAAUAGGACUCUAAUAGCACAAGGAAUAUGCAGCAAAAAUGAACAAAUGGGACUACAACAAAUUAAAAAUUUCUCCUUCCAAGGUGCCAAUAAGUACCAACAAGUAACAGAAUAAAAAGACAGCCUACAGAAUUGGAGAAAAUCUUUUCUGGCUAUUCCUCAGCAGAGGAUUCAUAUGUAGCAUAUAUAAAGAACUCAAAAAAUGUCACACCAAGCAAACAAAUAGCCCAACUAAUAAAUGAGCAAAUGAAUUAAACAGGCACUUCUCAAAAGAAGCACAGAUGGCCAGUUGUUAUAUGUAAAAGUGUUCAACAUUUUUAGACAUUAGAGAAAUGCAAAUCAAAACUAUAUUGAGAUUCUAUCUCAUCCCAGUCAGAAUGGCUAUCAUCAAGAAUACAAAAAGCAAACAAAGAAAAAACUCAACAAUGAAUACUGGUGAGGAAGUGGGGGAAAAGGAACACUUCUACACUGCUGGUGGAAAUGUAUAUCACUCUGGAAAUCAGUAUGAAGUUUCCUCACAAUAGUAAAAAUAAAACUACCAUAUGACCGAGCUAUACUUUGGUAUAUACCUGAAAGAAUUAAAGUCAACAUACUAUAGGGAGCCAGGGAUUUAGCUCAGUGGUUCCGCUGCCUGCCUUGAAAGCGCAAGGUCCCAAGUUCGAUCCCUGGUACCAAAAAAAUUUUUUUUAAAGUGAGCCUACUAUAGAGGUACCUGCACAUCCAUGUUUAUCAUGGCACAAUUCACAAUAGCCAAGAUAGGGAACCAGCCUAAGUGCCCAUCAACAUGUGAAUGGAUAAAGAAAAUGAGAUAUAUAUACACACAAUGAAAUAUCAUUCCACUAUAAAUCAGAACGAAAUUAUGUCACUUGCAAGAAAAUGGAUGGAACUUGAGAUGAUGUUGAAUGAAAUAAGACCAACUCAGAAAAACAAGUAUUUCAUGUUUUCCUUAAUAUCUGGAAUCUAAUAAAGAAGAUGGCAUGAAAGUAGAAGGAUGACUAUUAUUAGACAAGAGGAAGAGAAUAAGGG
rnacentral:lncRNA from 1 species